GACGAACGCUGGCGGCGUGCCUAAUACAUGCAAGUUGAACGCAACAAAGACACCAGAGCUUGCUCUACCGUUUUUGUUGAGUAGCGAACGGGUGAGUAACGCGUGGUAACCUGCCUUAUAGCGGGGGAUAACUAUUGGAAACGAUAGCUAAUACCGCAUAACAAUAGAGAUUGCAUAAUCUUUAUUUGAAAGUGCCAAACUGGUACACUAUGAGAUGGACCCGCGUUGUAUUAGCUAGUUGGUAGUGUAAUGGACUACCAAGGCGAUGAUACAUAGCUGACCUGAGAGGGUGAUCGGCCACAUUGGGACUGAGACACGGCCCAAACUCCUACGGGAGGCAGCAGUAGGGAAUCUUCGGCAAUGGACGAAAGUCUGACCGAGUAACGCCGCGUGAGUGAAGAAGGUUUUCGGAUCGUAAAACUCUGUUGUUAGAGAAGAAUGUUGAUUAGAGUGGAAAAUUAAUCAAGUGAACGGUAUCUAACCAGAAAGGGACGGCUAACUACGUGCCAGCAG
rnacentral:rRNA from 1 species